rnacentral:rRNA from 1 species
GGAGGGUGCAAGCGUUGUUCGGAAUUAUUGGGCGUAAAGCGCGUGUAGGCGGUCAUGUAAGUCAGAUGUGAAAGCCUUCCGCUUAACGGGAGAAGUGCAUUUGAGACUACAUGACUGGAGUACGGGAGAGGAGAGUGGAAUUCCCGGUGUAGAGGUGAAAUUCGUAGAUAUCGGGAGGAACACCAGUGGCGAAGGCGGCUCUCUGGCCUGAUACUGACGCUGAGACGCGAAAGCGUGGGGAGCAAACAGGAUUAGAUACCCUGGUAGUCCACGCCGUAAACGAUGGGCACUAGGUGUAGGAGGUAUUGACCCCUUCUGUGCCGAAGCUAACGCAUUAAGUGCCCCGCCUGGGGAGUACGGCCGCAAGGUUA